ACAUCCCUAGGAUACAAAGUGGGGUGUGUUUUUAUGAGUGUAAUGGUUCCAAUAGUUGGUGCCUAAUUGAUUUCCUAAAGGAAGUCAAAUAACUAAAGGUUUAAGAAAACCUAAUGCAAAUAGGACUUGUAUUAAGUGCUUGUUUGAUUUUGAAUAGGAUUCAAACCUUAUGCUUAUUUAAAUAGACCUCCCCUAAGGUCCCUAGACACUUCAACCAGCAGCCCCACACCCCC
rnacentral:lncRNA from 1 species